rnacentral:rRNA from 1 species
AACGAACGCUGGCGGCGUGCUUAAUACAUGCAAGUCGAACGAGAACACUCCCUUCGGGGGGUAAGUAAAGUGGCGCACGGGUGAGUAACACGUGGGUAACCUGCCCUUGAAUCUGGGAUAACUUCGCGAAAGCAUUGCUAAUACCGGAUAUUAUUCCUGAGACUGUGGUCUUGGGAAUGAAAGGUGACCUCUUCAUGAAAGUUGCUGUUUAAGGAGGGGCCCGCGUACCAUUAGCUUGUUGGUAGGGUAAUGGCCUACCAAGGCGACGAUGGUUAGCUGGUCUGAGAGGAUGGCCAGCCACACUGGAACUGAAACACGGUCCAGACUCCUACGGGUGGCUG